AUGUUGACUGGCAAGGAAUUCCGGGUUGAGUGCUUGAUGAAACAAAAGGAAUUCCUGCAUGGACCAAACAGGCUUUUCGAAGUUGGGUUGCCUAACACCAAAUGAAGAAGCCAAUGGUUUGUGAGCAUGAGUGGAAUCUAAUUUGGUAUGGGAAAGAGCUUUGGAGAGUUCAGUUGCGGAUACACUCCACGCCCUGGCUAGGAACUCCAUGGACUCGGUAGGAGUUUCUGGCGGGGGGCAUGUGGAGGAGGGCGACCAACUCGCUUCACAUUCUUCCCUGAUUCCCUCCAGCUUUAGCGACACUGUGACAAUCAAGCACACAAGACAGCACCGCCAAGGUACUGAUGCUGAAGUGCAGGUGCAACCUGAUAUUUAACACUACCGUGGACAGAAAAAGGGGGGGGG